UCCAGGUGUUUGCUGAGGCUGUUGUUGGGA
rnacentral:piRNA from 1 species